rnacentral:rRNA from 1 species
AUUGAACGCUGGCGGCAGGCUUAACACAUGCAAGUCGAGCGGGGGAAGGUAGCUUGCUACCGGACCUAGCGGCGGACGGGUGAGUAAUGCUUAGGAAUCUGCCUAUUAGUGGGGGACAACAUCUCGAAAGGGAUGCUAAUACCGCAUACGUCCUACGGGAGAAAGCAGGGGAUCUUCGGACCUUGCGCUAAUAGAUGAGCCUAAGUCGGAUUAGCUAGUUGGUGGGGUAAAGGCCUACCAAGGCGACGAUCUGUGCCGGGUCUGAGAGGAUGAUCCGCCACACUGGGACUGGGGCACGGCCCAGACUCCUACGGGAGGCAGCAGUGGGGAAUAUUGGACAAUGGGGGGAACCCUGAUCCAGCCAUGCCGCGUGUGUGAAGAAGGCCUUAUGGUUGUAAAGCACUUUAAGCGAGGAGGAGGCUACUCUAGUUAAUACCUAGGGAUAGUGGACGUUACUCGCAGAAUAAGCACCGGCUAACUCUGUGCCAGCCGCCGCAGUAA